GCUGGAAGCCAUUAUCUUCAGCAAAGUAACACAGGAGCAGAGGGGAAACAAGACAAGGACAGUUCCUGUAAACCUGUCUUUGGGCAUAGAGCUAGCAAGUAAAGGAGCCGCAGUUUGAAGCCUGAUCUGAUAUCAGAAGUGGGAUCCAAUGGACACUACAUGAUAAUGACCUCUGGGAGCAACAAGCAAACAGAUACAGUUACCCCACAGAGCCCCUUGUGCUUACUCCCUGCACAUUUGGAGGUCAUCACCAGUAAGUAGACUUAGAUACGUGCAUUCUAACACUAGCGUCAAGUUCUCCAAGUUCAUUUUAACAUUUCUGCUCCAGACUAGGUUUGGAAGUCACAGCAGAAACAAGACUGGGUUUUGCAGGGAGGCUUCAGGUGUCCAACUAGGUUAGACAAAAACCAAACUGGGUUAAGCAAAAGACCUCCACUAGGAAAGGUUCCACGAAGA
rnacentral:lncRNA from 1 species